UACAGAGGGUGCAAGCGUUAAUCGGAAUUACUGGGCGUAAAGCGUGCGUAGACGGUUAUGUAAGUCGGGUGUGAAAGCCCCGGGCUCAACCUGGGAAUUGCAUUCGAGACUGCAUAGCUAGGGUGCGGAAGAGGGAAGCGGAAUUUCCGGUGUAGAGGUGAAAUUCGUAGAUAUCAGGAGGAACACCGGUGGCGAAGGCGGCUUCCUGGACACUAACUGACGCUGAGACGCGAAAGCGUGGGGAGCAAACGGG
rnacentral:rRNA from 1 species